CCCUUAGAUGUUCUGGGCCGCACGCGCGCUACACUGACGAAUGCAACGAGCUUAUAACCUUGGCCGAAAGGUCUGGGUAAUCUCCAAAUUUCGUCGUGAUGGGGAUAGAUUAUUGCAAUUAUUAAUCUUCAACGAGGAAUGCCUAGUAAGCGCAAGUCAUCAGCUUGCGUUGAUUACGUCCCUGCCCUUUGUACACACCGCCCGUCGCUCCUACCGAUUGAAUGGUCCGGUGAAGCGUUCGGACCGUGGCCUUUGGACGGUUCGCCGUCUGUUGGCUGCGGGAAGUUCGUUUAACCUUAUCAUUUAGAGGAAGGAGAAGUCGUAACA
rnacentral:rRNA from 1 species